rnacentral:rRNA from 1 species
GACGAACGCUGGCGGCGUGCUUAACACAUGCAAGUCGAACGGAAGGGCCCUACUUUUGUGUGGUGCUCGAUUGGCGAACGGGUGAGUAACACGUGAGUAACCUGCCCUUGACUUUGUGAUAACUUCAGGAAACUGGGGCUAAUACCGGAUAGGAGCUCCUGCUGCAUGGUGGGGGUUGGAAAGUUUCGGCGGUUGGGGCUGGACUCGCGGCUUAUCAGCUUGUUUGUGGGGUAGUGACUUACCAAGGCUUUGACGGGUAGCCCGCCUGAGAGGGUGAACGGCCACAUUGGGACUGAGAGACGGACCAGAAUCCUACGGGAGGCAGUAGUGGGGAAUAUUGCACAAUGGGCGGAAGCCUGAUGCAGCAACGCCGCGUGCGGGAUGACGGCCUUCGGGUUGUAAACCGCUUUCGAAUGUGACGAAGAGUGAGUGACGGUAAUGGGUAAAGAGGCCCCGGCUAACUACGUG